rnacentral:tRNA from 1 species
AAAACUUUAAGUUAAAAAAACUAAUAGCCUUCAAAGCUAUAAAUAAAAGAAUUACCUUUUAAGUUUUA